UGCUUUGGAACAGGCUCACUGAUGAUGUGACAAAGACUGGCAGCAUUAGGAUGAAUUCAAAAGUGUACAGUUGGUACUUCAUCCUGCAGCAAGACAAUGUGACCCCAAACACAUUGCCUAUGCAACCUAAGCAUUCAUCAAUGGGAAAAGACCAAUCGAGCAUGCAUUACACUUACUGAAGAGGAGACUGAAGACAAAGAUCAGCUGAAAGCUAUUUCUAAAGAAGACACCAAACUUUUGGUUCAUCCAUGAACAUAAUUUUGCACAGCUGAAGAUGGCGACUUGACACAAAACAGCUGUUUCUGUAAAAUGAUGAAACAUGUAAAUGCCAUAAAGAAAAGCUGAUUGUCUGUA